GCGACGUUUGGACAACUUUUGGGUAAAACCGUUUAACCUCUUAAUGUAAGAUGACACCUAGGACCUCCAGGCACCAUAAAAACUGCAUUGAAAGAAAUGAUUAUGGUGCCUGGGGUGUUACUUUUAAGUUCUCUAUAGUGGGUGGUUGGGAUGGGGGCAGUUUAUUGACAGUUACAUGUAAGAAGUCCUCACUUUUUCCUCUCUGCUGUU